UUCCCACGACAGUACCCACCAAACCUCCCAAAACUUUGGCGCAAACACCCAAUUUUAGACCAUCGCAUUUCGCAGAUUUUGGAGUAGGGGUUGCCGGAGGCUUCGGGGUGGGUGUUGUGCCGCAAGGGCAUUUUGGUGAUUUGGGUUUUGGUGGUGGAGGACAAGGAGCGGUAGAAGUGACCAAAGAGAAGAAGAGAAGGUUCAAGACCAAAAGAAGAGUGGCACUAUAUGAUAGAACCUUUGACGCCAUCUCAAGAAGAAGAAAAAUACUAAUUAAGCUGGUUUGUGGUGAAUAUAAAUGGUUACAGGGCGUGCUAUUUAUAGAUAAAAUGAUAUGAGAUCUUUCGUUCAUUUUUAGUUAAGAAAUUCCCGAAUCGAAAAUAAUUAAAGAUCCAUAUUAUUAUAAUGUGAAUAGAUUUGGUUAAAGUGAGGAUCAUCUUAGACUUGGGCGUUAAUUUGCAACUUGAGAGAUGCGACAAGACGAGUUUUGGAUGUAACAGCUAAUUGAAAUGAAUGUGUGCCUUGGGAUUCAAUGUUUGUAUAUAGCUAUUGGUUCUUAUUAGCAAAAUGAAUUAGAAAUAGAUUGGUUUUAUUGUCAUCCACGAAACACUUCAUUCUUUUCAGACUCCAGUCAUUUUCAAAGGGAGCCGAUUUGAACUAGUCUCAAAACUGAAAUCAUCAUUUUGUUUGUAACAGUUGAUUAAUUUGUUUGUAAUAGUUGAUUUUAUACGAGUGAUCGAUGAUUUACGAAAUAUCUGCUUGUGUUAUAUAUGAAGCCUAUCGAGCAAGUCGCAACUAUAUAUUAAUCAACCAUGUUCAGAAAUAAAUAUAUCUGGUGUAUAGGCAUUUACAUUUAUAUCGUCUUAAAUCUAAUUAAUAUUAAUUUCUUUAAGAUUUCAUUUUCAUUUCCAGUACAGAGAAAGAAGAGCGACCACUUGAACGAAGGGCCGACAGUGACGAAGACUUGCCCAAGCUGUACGCAGUUGGGUUGAGAUGAAAGUUAUAUAUGCUACUAGGCUUUCAAAAUCUUUAGAUAAUUUGAUAAGAAGAAUUUUAUAUUAAUUCAAUUAUAUUGCAGUGUGUUACAGGAAAAUUAUAGUGACGCGGCAUCCAUAAUGAAUAAGUGAAGACGCGUUUUUAAGUUUUUGUCUUGUUUUCUUUAUAGAUACCGAAAUUCCAAUCCAAAUCAAUAAUCAAUGGUCACACUCCAAUUGCCAGUAUAUAUAUUGGCAGAAUCGAGAUUAUGAAAUAUCAGGAGGGAAAUUUUAAAAAAAAAAGUUAAUUAAUUACCUGACUGUGGUUGAGAUUUAAAAAGGAAUUGAACUGAUUUUGAAGUACAAAAUGAGACUUAAUUAAAUAGACACAAUUAAUAAUUCCCGCAGUUUAGAGCAUAUAACAAUCACUGGAUUAUACUACACUCUAAAGUCUUGGACUCCUCUCACCAUAGGAUCCCGAAUAAAUUUGGUGCAUUGUAAAUAUUGCAUUGACUUGACUUGAGAGAUCUUACGAUUUUAAUUGGUCUGCAGCGAAUCAAACGUCGUCUAUAUAUGUUGUUUUAUAAGGCGCACAAUUUGCAGAUAUGAACUAAUAAGAGGACAAUUAUGAAGUAUCCGCUCGUAUAUAUCUAAAUUAAAAGGAAAACGAUAGCUCGCAAUAGUGAGUUUGGCAUACUUCACAGGUCGUCUAGAAUGAAUAAUUUAUGCAGGGGUUAUAAUUAGAUUCUUCUCAAAUUUCAACUCUUGUACUCGAUUAGAAAAGAUAAUUAAAUUCAAAUAAAGCUGCUAGGGGAGGGGCAGAUGUAUUCUUACCAAACUUGAAGCAGUCACAACCUCUUAACAAACACACUACAGAAUUUUCUAAGAAUCAAAUUACCAUAGAAGAUAGUGAUGACUUAUGAGACAGGAAAAGAGGCUUGUAACAAGGACAAGUGAAUUUGGACCUAUAUUUGGAUCACAUGGUUGGAAUAGGAGAUAGAUCUCGACCUAUAUUUGGAUUAUUUUGUGAUCCAAAUUUGGAUCUAUGGUUGGAGUUCGCCUUAGACAAAAGAUUCUAGGUGGAAAUAUUGUAUUCCAUAGUAGAUUUUGUAUAAUGUGGUUCUGCACGAUGUCUAGUACUCUUUCCGUCCCAUUUAAUUUUAUACGUUCAGUAUUUAGCACAUAGCUUAAUGCUUCUAUAAAAUAUACUCCCUCUGUCUCAUUUAAUUGUAUACGUUUCUUUUUAACUGCUCGACACGCAUUUCAAUACUCUUAUAAAAUAUAGUUCUGUAACUUAUUUUUGAGAUUGUCUUUUUCUGUAUAAAAAUAUAACAUCCAAACUUUAAUUCAGAAAAAGAAAAUUUUAAAAAUAAAUUACACAACUACACUUUACAGGAGCAUAAAGUCCGUGCCGCGUCCCCGUCCCCCAAUGUAUACUACUCAGGGGGACGGAGGGAGUAGUUGAAUAACUUAUUUUUAAGAUUUUUUUCGGAAUAAAAAUUUAAGUUAAACUUUUAUUCAGUAAAAAGUUUGAAAAAUAAUUUAUAGAACUAUAUUUAGAGAAGCAUUAAAUGUCUGCCGCUCCCCUACGCAUACAACUCAGGGAUGGAAGUCGGAGUAUAUAUCAAACGAUUUGAGAUUUGGUGUUGAUGAGACAGUUGAGUGUAAGCCGCAUAUGAAUCUUAUUUUUGAAGGAAUGUCGGAGGAAGUUGCAUGUGAGAGUAUUCUCCCCAGUUCCUUGUAAUUAUAUUAUCGUUGUUUUCUGUAUGCAUGUGUACCAUUCUCUACUGAUGUUCAUGUGAUUGAAUAAAAAUAGAGUUUGGGGGAAUAAAAUGUACCAUGCAUGAAUUCCAAGAAAGUACAAAUAUGGCUCAAGCUAAGGAGCUAGGGUGUGUUUAGAGUUCACUAUAUAUAUGCAUCAUGUAAUUAAUCAUGCACCAAGUGUUGACUUUGAAAUGAAGAUAUUGGCUGGUUUAGGGCUUUAGGCAUGCAUCAGGCCAGUAUUAAUGUAUUAGUAUUAUGUUACAUUCUCGGCACCUUGACUUUGACAUGCAUGCAUGUGCAUGUAUACUGUAUAUUCUCAAGUGGUAUAAGUAUAAACUAUCUAAGUAAUUAAACACAUAUAUAUAUAUAUAUGAGAUUCACGUGAAUUACUGAAUAGCAAUGCAUUACAGAAAACGCAAGGAGAAAUUUGAAGUGGAUAGACGGGAAAGAAGAUUACAUUUAUCUGUUAACUGAAUGAAAAAGGAUACAAAUACGAGGUAUGUUCUUACAGAAGACCUGAAAGAAGGCGAGGUGCCUCCCUCCUUUAUUCAAAACAUGACAUAAGAUUACAUAAAUGAAAAGACAUAUCACUGGCAAACAGAGAAGAAGAUUUCGAAAGUAAAAACUUAAGAACAUUGGAAGCCCUCGGGGGUUUUCUUGUCACAGUAGUUGAGCAACAAGCUCAAAUUAACCGGUAUGUUGAGGUUAAUACCCAAGACAUUAGCUUUAAGGGCGGUGCAAAGACAUAGAGCUGCAUCAAGAUCACCAACUCCUUGAAGGAGACUACAGCAUGGCUCCUUAUCCGGGGUUCCGAGGACAAGACCAAGCAAACCUCCUAGAAGAUUACCGCAGACACCCAAUUUUAGAGCAUCGCAUUUUGGUGAUGCCGGAGCCGUCGGGGUACUUGGUGGUGUAGGAGUAGGUGUGGUCGGAGGUUUAGGAGUAGGUGACUUCGGUGUUUUCGGAGUUUUCGGGGUUUUCGGGGUUGGUGUUGUUUCGCACGGGCAUUUUGGUGAUUUAGGUUUUGGUGGUGGAGGACAAGGAGUAUUUGAAGUGACCAAUGUGAAGAAAAGAAGGUUCAAGACCAAAAGAAG
rnacentral:lncRNA from 1 species